rnacentral:rRNA from 1 species
CCUACGGGGGGCUGCAGUGGGGAAUCUUCCGCAAUGGGCGCAAGCCUGACGGAGCAACGCCGCGUGAGUGAAGAAGGUCUUCGGAUCGUAAAGCUCUGUUGAUGGGGAUGAACGUGCCUAAUGCGAAUAGUAUUAGGUAAUGACGGUACCCAUCGAGGAAGCCACGGCUAACUACGUGCCAGCAGCCGCGGUAAUACGUAGGUGGCGAGCGUUGUCCGGAAUCAUUGGGCGUAAAGGGAGCGCAGGCGGGCAUGUAAGUCUUUCUUAAAAGUGCGGGGCUCAACCCCGUGAUGGGAAAGAAACUAUGUGUCUUGAGUACAGGAGAGGAAAGCGGAAUUCCCAGUGUAGCGGUGAAAUGCGUAGAUAUUGGGAGGAACACCAGUGGCGAAGGCGGCUUUCUGGACUGCAACUGACGCUGAGGCUCGAAAGCCAGGGGAGCGAACGGGAUUAGAUACCCUAGUAGUC